rnacentral:tRNA from 1 species
GCCGGAGUAGCUCAGCUGGUAGAGCAUUCGCCUUGUAAGCGAAGGGUCGUGGGUUCGAGUCCCGCCUCCGGCU